rnacentral:rRNA from 1 species
CGAAGCAACGCGAAGAACCUUACCAGGUCUUGACAUCCGAUGCUAUUCUAGAGAUAGAAAGUUACUUCGGUACAUCGGUGACAGGUGGUGCAUGGUUGUCGUCAGCUCGUGUCGUGAGAUGUUGGGUUAAGUCCCGCAACGAGCGCAACCCCUAUUGUUAGUUGCCAUCAUUCAGUUGGGCACUCUAGCGAGACUGCCGGUAAUAAACCGGAGGAAGGUGGGGAUGACGUCAAAUCAUCAUGCCCCUUAUGACCUGGGCUACACACGUGCUACAAUGGUUGGUACAACGAGUUGCGAGUCGGUGACGGCGAGCUAAUCUCUUAAAGCCAAUCUCAGUUCGGAUUGUAGGCUGCAACUCGCCUACAUGAAGUCGGAAUCGCUAGUAAUCGCGGAUCAGCACGCCGCGGUGAAUACGUUCCCGGGCCUU